rnacentral:rRNA from 1 species
CGGUUAAAAAGCUCGUAGUUGGAUCUCGGCGGGCAGGGGGUGGUUCGCUCUUCAGCGCUACUGCCCCGCUUUGCCCGUGUGAUUGGCGGAGGUUUCGGGGUGCUCUUCGUUGAGUGACUCGGAGCGCCGUCAGGUUUACUUUGAAAAAAUUAGAGUGCUCAAAGCAGGCUUUUCUCGCUUGAAUAUUCGUGCAUGGAAUAAUGGAAUAGGAACUCGUUUCUAUUUUGUUGGUUUUCGGAAAUCGAGUUGAUGAUUAACAGGGACAAUUGGGGGCAUUAGUAUUCAGACGACAGAGGUGAAAUUCUUGGACCGUCUGAAGACUGACUACUGCGAAAGCAUUUGCCAAGAGUGUUUUCAUUAAUCAAGAACGAAAGUUAGAGGUUCGAAGGCGAUCAGAUACCGCCCUAGUUCUAACCAUAAACGAUGCCAGCUAGCGAUCUGCCGAGUUUUUUUUGUAGGCUCCGCAGGAAGCUUUCGGGAAACCAAAGCUUUUGGGUUCCGGGGGAAGUAUGGUUGCAAAGCUGAAACUUAAAGGAAUUGACGGAAGGGCACCACCAGG